rnacentral:rRNA from 1 species
CUACGGGGUGCACCAGUGGGGAAUAUUGGGCAAUGGGCGCAAGCCUGACCCAGCAACGCCGCGUGAGGGAAGAAGGUUUUCGGAUUGUAAACCUCUGUCCUUGGGGACGAAGAAGUGACGGUACCCAAGGAGGAAGCUCCGGCUAACUACGUGCCAGCAGCCGCGGUAAUACGUAGGGAGCGAGCGUUGUCCGGAAUUACUGGGCGUAAAGGGUGCGUAGGCGGCAUAUUAAGUCAGGUGUGAAAUACCCGGGCUCAACCCGGGGGGUGCAUUUGAAACUGAUACGCUGGAGUGUGAGAGAGGAAAGUGGAAUUCCUAGUGUAGCGGUGAAAUGCGUAGAUAUUAGGAGGAACACCAGUGGCGAAGGCGACUUUCUGGCUCAUAACUGACGCUGAGGCACGAAAGCGUGGGGAGCAAACAGGAUUAGAUACCCCAGUAGUC